rnacentral:rRNA from 1 species
CGGAUUGUAGUCUGNAACCCGACUACAUGAAGCUGGAAUCGCUAGUAAUCGCAGAUCAGAAUGCUGCGGUGAAUACGUUCCCGGGUCUUGUACACACCGCCCGUCACACCAUGGGAGUUUGUAACGCCCAAAGUCGGUGGCCUAACCUUUAUGGAGGGAGCCGCCUAAGGCGGGACAGAUGACUGGGGUGAAGUCGUAACAAGGUAGC